rnacentral:snRNA from 1 species
GUGCUCACUUCAGCAGCACAUGUACUAAAAUUGGAACGAUGCAGAGAAGAUUAGCACGG